ensembl:lncRNA
UCCAAAUGCCCCACCCAGGUGUGCCCAGCCCCGUCCUGUGCAGUUCUGAGCUGGCUGCUGUGCUGCCUCCUGGCGUCAUGGAACAGAGGGGCUGGGAGAGCUGGAAGGGGACCAUGUUUCCUCCCAAGCUUUGGCAAUACCGCACCCUAAUACUGAAGAUGGAGGAAUCAAGGUACAGAGAAGAUUAAAUAAAAACAACUCUCAUCCAAGGUCAUAGAGUUGAGAGACAGACCAGAGGACCUGACUUCAGAGCUGGUGCUUUAACCCAAAGAUUGCCUUUGCAUGGAUUUAGGCAUCUGGCCCACACCCUCACCUGCAGCCACUGCAAAGCAGAAGCCUGGACUCCUCUCAAGACACAGGACACACCUGUGAUCCUGAGCCAGGAUAAGCAAAAUAAGACAGGGCUGGCCCCUGACUGACCAUUGCACUCCACAGUGAAAGCUACUAACUAACAUGGGUCAGAGGGGCCACAACUUGACCUCAGAGGGAACCUACACGAGGAUUCUGCUGUCAAAGCCUGGGAGAGAGGAGGAAGCCAAGAAAAGAGAAGCCAAGAGAGACAGCAGAAGAAGUGCGUGGAGUUUGGAGAACUGGCCUUUCCCAGCCUGCUGGGCAGAGCGCAGGG